rnacentral:tRNA from 1 species
GAGAAAGACAAAUAUAAGAACUGCUAACUCUUACAACUGAGACUAAAGCCUCAGCUCUCUCA